rnacentral:rRNA from 1 species
GGCCUACGGGGGGCAGCAGUAGGGAAUAUUGCACAAUGGGCGAAAGCCUGAUGCAGCAACGCCGCGUGCGCGAUGAAGGCCUUCGGGUUGUAAAGCGCUUUUCUGGAGGACGAGGAAGGACGGUACUUCAGGAAGAAGGAUCGGCUAACUACGUGCCAGCAGCCGCGGUAAAACGUAGGAUCCGAGCGUUAUCCGAAUUCACUGGGCGUAAAGCGCGUGUAGGCGGCCGUGUAAGUUGGAUGGGAAAUCUCCCGGCUCAACUGGGGGGGGACGUUCAAGACUGCAAGGCUAGAGGGCAGUAGAGGGAGGCGGAAUUCCCGGUGUAGUGGUGAAAUGCGUAGAUAUCGGGAGGAACACCAGAGGCGAAGGCGGCCUCCUGGACUGCAACUGACGCUCAGACGCGAAAGCUAGGGGAGCAAACGGGAUUAGAUACCCUGGUAGUCCU